GCAUCUUGGACAGCGCUGCGAGAGGGCGGAAUCGAACCUCAGGCAGCG
rnacentral:tRNA from 1 species